UAUGGGUGGACAUGUGUGUUAUAUGGGGGAUCAUAUGUGUUACAUGCAAUAACAUGGAUGUGUAUGGGCUAUAUGGGUGUUCUGUAUGUGUUAUGUAUGGGAACAUGUGUGUUACAUGUGAUAACAUGGGGUACAUACAUUAACAUGUGUGUUAUAUGGGUGGAUAUGUGUGUUAUGGGUGUGUUACAUGCGAUAACAUGGGCUACAUACAUGAACACACAUGUCCCAUAUGUGCUAUAUGGACAGUUACACACCUUACACUGCUCAUUAUGGGCUACAUACAUGAACACGUGUGUCUCAUACAUGUCCCAUACGUGUCCCAUAUGUGUUCCCAUGUGUUCCAUACACAAACGUGUGUUCUAUACGUGUCCCAUACAUCCCAUAAACAAACACGUGUGUCCCAUAGAUGUCCCAUACGUGUCCCCAUGUGUCCCAUACACCAACACACAUAUUCCAUACAUUAACAUGUGCUUUACAUACAUGAUCACACAUGUUCCAUUCAUAACCAUUGCCCCAUUCAUGUCUAUGGGGGGGGUGGUUCCCACCGGGGAGGGGCGUG
rnacentral:lncRNA from 14 species